GAUGAAGAACGUAGCGAAAUGCGAUAAGUAAUGUGAAUUGCAGAAUUCAGUGAAUCAUCGAGUCUUUGAACGCACAUUGCGCCCCCUGGUAUUCCGGGGGGCAUGCCUGUCCGAGCGUCAUUGCUGCCCUCAAGCACGGCUUGUGUGUUGGGCCCCCGUCCCCGGUUUCCCCCGGGGACGGGCCCGAAAGGCAGCGGCGGCACCGCGUCCGGUCCUCGAGCGUAUGGGGCUUUGUCACCCGCUCUGUAGGCCCGGCCGGCGCCAGCCGACACCCAACUUUAUUUCUAAGGUUGACCUCGGAUCAGGUAGGGAUACCCGCUGAACUUAAGCAUAUAAUAAGCGGAGGA
rnacentral:misc_RNA from 1 species